ensembl:snRNA U6 U6 spliceosomal RNA
GUGCUCGCUUCAGCAACACAUAUACUAAAAUUGGAACAAUACAGAGAAGAUUAGCCUGGCCCCUGUGCAAGGAUGACACGCAAAUUCAUGAAGCAUUCCUAAUUUUU